rnacentral:rRNA from 1 species
GCGGUAAUACGUAGGUGGCAAGCGUUAUCCGGAAUUAUUGGGCGUAAAGCGCGCGCAGGCGGUUUCUUAAGUCUGAUGUGAAAGCCCACGGCUCAACCGUGGAGGGUCAUUGGAAACUGGGGAACUUGAGUGCAGAAGAGAAAAGCGGAAUUCCACGUGUAGCGGUGAAAUGCGUAGAGAUGUGGAGGAACACCAGUGGCGAAGGCGGCUUUUUGGUCUGUAACUGACGCUGAGGCGCGAAAGCGUGGGGAGCAAACAGGAUU